UCCUCCUCAAAGUCUUCAACUGUCAUUUCUCUCCUCUCAGAAGCUGAUACUGUUACUGGCCUUUGUCUUUUGAACCAGUCAUGAGUGGGCUUUUUGCUGGGCUGCAGAGGGCUCGACGGGCUCUUGGCCACAGAGCAGGUGUGAUGAUGCAACAACGAGCAAGUUACAUCUACUGCAAACCACCUAAAGAUAACAUUGGCAUUGUGGAAUCUACGUUUGUGCUGACUGUGCUGAAUAUGGCCGUCCUUGGACCUUCUGGGUGGAUACUUGCCCAUGUAGAGGAAUAUAAAUCCCGUGACUGAUGGACGAGGCCCUGAAUGCAUCGUCAACACGUGUCAAAGCCACUGUGCCCGCUUAUAAAAGUGCCAUUUGAACCUUUUUCUGUUUUGUUAACAUAAUAAAAUGUUUAAUUUUC